GUGCUUGCUUUGGAAGUGUAUAUACUAAAAUCAAAGCCAUACAGGAAAAAAAUCAGCAUGCUCCCUGUACAAGGAUGAUAUACAAACGUGUGGAGUAUUUGAUAGUUUU
ensembl:snRNA U6 U6 spliceosomal RNA